rnacentral:rRNA from 1 species
CAGGAUGAACGCUAGCUACAGGCUUAACACAUGCAAGUCGAGGGGCAUCAGGAAGAAAGCUUGCUUUCUUUGCUGGCGACCGGCGCACGGGUGAGUAACACGUAUCCAACCUGCCCUUUACUCGGGGAUAGCCUUUCGAAAGAAAGAUUAAUACCCGAUAGCAUAAUGAUUCCGCAUGGUUUCAUUAUUAAAGGAUUCCGGUAAAGGAUGGGGAUGCGUUCCAUUAGGUUGUUGGUGAGGUAACGGCCCACCAAGCCUUCGAUGGAUAGGGGUUCUGAGAGGAAGGUCCCCCACAUUGGAACUGAGACACGGUCCAAACUCCUACGGGAGGCAGCAGUGAGGAAUAUUGGUCAAUGGGCGCUAGCCUGAACCAGCCAAGUAGCGUGAAGGAUGAAGGCUCUAUGGGUCGUAAACUUCUUUUAUAUAAGAAUAAAGUGCAGUAUGUAUACUGUUUUGUAUGUAUUAUAUGAAUAAGGAUCGGCUAACUCCGUGCCAGCAGCCGCGGUAAUACGGAGGAUCCGAGCGUUAUCCGGAUUUAUUGGGUUUAAAGGGAGCGUAGGUGGACUGGUAAGUCAGUUGUGAAAGUUUGCGGCUCAACCGUAAAAUUGCAGUUGAUACUGUCAGUCUUGAGUACAGUAGAGGUGGGCGGAAUUCGUGGUGUAGCGGUGAAAUGCUUAGAUAUCACGAAGAACUCCGAUUGCGAAGGCAGCUCACUGGACUGCAACUGACACUGAUGCUCGAAAGUGUGGGUAUCAAACAGGAUUAGAUACCCUGGUAGUCCACACAGUAAACGAUGAAUACUCGCUGUUUGCGAUAUACAGUAAGCGGCCAAGCGAAAGCAUUAAGUAUUCCACCUGGGGAGUACGCCGGCAACGGUGAAACUCAAAGGAAUUGACGGGGGCCCGCACAAGCGGAGGAACAUGUGGUUUAAUUCGAUGAUACGCGAGGAACCUUACCCGGGCUUAAAUUGCAGUGGAAUGAUGUGGAAACAUGUCAGUGAGCAAUCACCGCUGUGAAGGUGCUGCAUGGUUGUCGUCAGCUCGUGCCGUGAGGUGUCGGCUUAAGUGCCAUAACGAGCGCAACCCUUAUCUUUAGUUACUAACAGGUUAUGCUGAGGACUCUAGAGAGACUGCCGUCGUAAGAUGUGAGGAAGGUGGGGAUGACGUCAAAUCAGCACGGCCCUUACGUCCGGGGCUACACACGUGUUACAAUGGGGGGUACAGAAGGCAGCUAGCGGGUGACCGUAUGCUAAUCCCAAAAUCCUCUCUCAGUUCGGAUCGAAGUCUGCAACCCGACUUCGUGAAGCUGGAUUCGCUAGUAAUCGCGCAUCAGCCACGGCGCGGUGAAUACGUUCCCGGGCCUUGUACACACCGCCCGUCAAGCCAUGGGAGCCGGGGGUACCUGAAGUACGUAACCGCGAGGAGCGUCCUAGGGUAAAACU